rnacentral:lncRNA from 1 species
CUCCAUCUUUAUGCACACUCAAGUUACAUGCCUUACUAGGUUGUUCUCUAUGCAGCAAAAGAUUCUGUUAGUGUUGUUACUGUUAACUUGCCUUCCAGAAUUUGAAACCAAAAAUGUCCAUUUAUUCUAAUUUUGAGAAGCCUCUUGCAAUCCCUCAGUCCUGUGCUUGAAAUGUUUUCUAUAGCAUUGGCAAGCUUCUGUAGCAAAAGCUACUGUGCUGCCUUCAGAUUCCUCAUAUGUACACACAGUUAAUGGGUGUUGUCGUGAUUAAUUGCUAAUUAUUUGGUAAAGUUAAUUGGCUGGUGCUUUGAACACCUGGUAUUGAUUUUUUUAAAACUAAGAAAUAUUUCUAAAUAAGAUUGCAUUAACUUUAAAAAUGUCUUCAAUUUACUUUGGGUUUUUCUAGAACUCUAUGAAUCUACCACACAAACUAAUUACUAUAUGGAAUAAUUUACUGUACUCACAUACAGUAAAUACUAAAUGAGUGCAUUACUGUAAAAACAUAAUCAUGAUUGUUAUUUUUUAUUUAAGUACCUCUUAUGCUAUUUAAAAGCAUAAUUCCUGUAAAAAUUACAUGUUCCGAAUAGUUAAAUCACUGCUUAUCCUAUCUAUAGAUUUCUUUCUUAAUAAUUACAUAUUUCUGUAAAGCCUACUGUAAAAUGCUUUCAUUGCUUGCAGUUUUAAGUUUGAUCUGCUUACACUUAGGUAGACAUGCCUGCAAUAACUUUUCUCUCAGUUAUUUCUAACCUCAUAAUUAUUCUACUUUUCAGUAUCUUGUGUUACUCAUGGGCAAAAAAACUUCUUAGUGAAUAGAAUUCUGUCUGUUGUUUCUGAUUGUUGGUAUGAACAUUAAACUAUUGGGCUGAUCUUGCUGGUUUGAAGCAGCUUUCUGAAGUAGCUCAACAGUUGCCACCCCCUUGAGCAGUAGCUACAAAGAGACAAGCUUAGAAAUUUGCCUUCUAUCAGCAAGAGACCAUUGUGCGUAACUAAACCAGGUGAUGAAGUGUCUUCCUAGCAGCAUAAAAUGUAUGCCUGUAUUUUAUUAUUUUUAGUUUUGUGAAGAAUGCUGUUGAUGAGGUUGCACUGGUUCUCCUAGCUCUGUCCCAGGAUGCCUUACCUUGGUAUCUUUGAUUAUCAUAUCCUUUGGUAAAAAUCCCUUUCUAUAAUUAUAGUGUAGGAAAGAGAAUAGCAGCAGUUGAACACCUAUUAUGUAAUUUGCAGUUUGAUAGUAAAUGUCUCGUGCAUGUUAUCCUCUUACUCUUCAGUAGCAUUUCAUUUUUGGUCUUGGCGGUGGUGGUGUGUUUUGCUUUGAUUUGGUUUUAUUUAUUGUACACCUGAAUCUAACAUGAGGCUGACAUUUUCCCCUAAAGAUAGUGUUUUUCUCUUGCUUUACCAUUGGAGUGUCAAGGGGGUGGGAAGACUUCAGUACUCCAUUUACCUCCUUCUUGCCACUGCACCCCUCCAAACACAUGCUAUCUAGGUAAAAGUUGUGUUGGCUGUACCGAGGCAUCUGUGAGAGUCCUCGUCUCCAGCCCCACCUCCACUACCACUAUUUUGUCUCUCCUAUCUGGAAACUCUGAAGCGCUUGAUAUUUCUAUUCCUGGUCUUUCACAAACAUGUACAAGAGGUCAUAUAAAUGUUAAUUCAACAACUCUAGGAAACAACCUUUAAAAAUAUAUUGUCUGUUGCCACUAAUGUACUUAGCGCAGUUAACUAUUUUAGGGGGAAAUUUUUUGUAAUUCCUUCAUCUAAUCACUUUAAUAUUCAUGAUGAAAUAAAGGAAGGUUGGUAGUAAACUCUCAUUCUCAUUACCAUUUGGCAGGUUAAGGACAUAGAGCAACAAGAGCAAUAUGUGUGAUGUUUCCUUAACCCUUCAAAGAACUACCCUAGACAGCUCUAAUCCAGUGAUGUAUGGGAAAGGAAACUGAAAAUGUGAUUAUCUACCUAAAAGUGAGGGCCAUCCACUAGUGCGUUUUCAGCAGUU